rnacentral:piRNA from 1 species
UCUGAUAAUAUCAGUACUGCCAGAAAGC